UCUUCAUUUCUCAUGCCCUCUCAUCGGUCAGAGUGACGAGAUAGCACGUGAAAUGAAGAGA
rfam:Pristionchus pacificus strain PS312 contig10910, whole genome shotgun sequence.